rnacentral:lncRNA from 1 species
UGCAGUUCACAUUUACCUGGUGGACCAUCACCAACCGGAUGGAGGUGAAGCAAGUGGGCAAGUUAGGGAAAUGCUCGGAAGGCUAUCGAGAAGAUCAACGAUCUUAACCCCACGAUCCUAAUUUCAGUUUGUACCUCGUUGUUGGGCUGUCAGAAAAGUUUGGAGCAGGAGCAAUGAUAUGACAAUUGUGGCUAACUUUCUUGUCAUUAGUCAUAUAUGUGCUAAUGGACCUUCCGGGUUCUCCACCAUUAUGUUACCGGCCGGUUUCUCAUCUGAAAAAUACCCCAUAGCAUAGUGGACAAUGCUUUUUUUGGUCAGAAGUAGUAUUUCUACAUGAAACUAAGGUAUAUAUGCGUAUGAGAAAUGUGGCUUAUCUUUAGAUAAUGCUUUUUUUGUUAGAAGUUGUUUUUCUACAUGAAACUAAGGUAUAUAUGCGUAUGAGAAAUUAUAUCUUUGCUUAACUCAAAAAAUUGUAUUUGCUCCUUUUAGCGGGAGCCUGGAGGUAAUACGGUUUGUACAGCAUGGUUUGAAUAAGAUAUUGUUUGUAUACUGUUGAGUGAAGUAUUGUAUAACUACUGUAAAGUGGGUGUAGGUUUUUAUUGUGCAUUUUUCACAGAGGUUUGGGCGUUUGGACACAACCAUAUGUACAAGUUGAAGCCUUCAUUUGGUAUUGACUUCUUAUCUUGACUCAAAUUUUGACAAUUCUCUAUAAUACUUCCAUCUGGAAGCACAAAAUCUGAUAGAAUUGAUUCGUGUGGGAAAAAUACAUGAAGCUUUGAAGUUUUCUCAAGAAGAACUAGCACCAAGAGCCGAGUAAACGGUAAUUUUUUUGUUAAAACAUCUCACUUACCUUAGUUAAAAACCAGGGUUUGAAACUAUAUUAGUCAGAAUACAGUUCUUGAUGUCAGCUAGAUUUCAUUUUCUGGUAAUAUCAUUUGUCGUUAAGAACAUGUUCUUAUGUUAUAUUUUAUUUGUAAACUUUUGGCAAUUUUUUCAGCAAGCAUUUCUUUAGGAAACAAAGAAAACUAUAGCAACUAUUUGAUGUUUCUCGACGCUUGAAGACAACAAGUGAAGUUGCUACCAUCUUACAAGCCAAAGUCAUGAGAAAGGUAUGCACUAUGUGGCAGAGGCAUGCAUAUGAUGUGAUGCCCGUUUUAUUUUCAUAUAUAUCUUACGAUUUAAUUUCACUGUAGUGUACCUAAAUCCAUGUGGUAAUGUCAUUGGCAUACAUAAUUUUUUACGCAUACAAACAUUGUUCUCUCACAACAGGAGCACUGAAGUGUGAUUCAUGCAGCUUUGUGUGCGAUUCACAUUUACCCGGUGGACCAUCACCAACCGGAUGGAGGUGAAGCAAGUGGGCAAGUCAGGGAAAUGCUCGGAAGGCUAUCGAGAAGAUCAACGAUCUUAACCCCACGAUCCUAAUUUCAGUUUGUACCUCGUUGUUGGGCUGUCAGAAAAGUUUGGAGCAGGAGCAAUGAUAUGACAAUUGUGGCUAACUUUCUUGUCAUUAGUCAUAUAUGUGCUAAUGGACCUUCCGGGUUCUCCAUUAUGUUUACCGGCCGGUUUCUCAUCUGAAAAAUACCCAUAGCAUAGUGGACAAUGCUUUUUUUGGUCAGAAGUAGUAUUUCUACAUGAAACUAAGGUAUAUAUGCGUAUGAGAAAUGUGG